UACAGAGGUGGCAAGCGUUGCUCGGUAUCACUGGGCUUAAAGGGCGCGUAGGCGGUGCGGUACGGUUUCGGUGAAAUCCCUCGGCCCAACCGAGGAACAGCCGGAGCUACGGCCGGACUAGACGGCAUCAGGGGACAGUGGAACUCCCGGUGGAGCGGUGAAUUGCGUAGAUAUCUACAGGAACUCCGGUGGCGAAAGCGGCGUGCUGGACCUUUUCUGACGCUGAGGCGCGAAAGCGUGGGGAGCGAACAGG
rnacentral:rRNA from 1 species